rnacentral:rRNA from 1 species
ACGGCGAGUGAAGAGGGAAAAGCCCAAAUUUGUAAUCUGACUUUUUUUAAGGGAGUCUGAGUUGUAAUUUUGAGAACUGUUUUCAAUGCUGGACCAUGUACAAGUCUGUUGAAAAACAGCAUCAUUGAGGGUGAUAAUCCCGUCCAUGAUAUGGACUACCAUGUGUGAUAUGAUACAGUCUCUAAGAGUCGAGUUGUUUGGGAAUGCAGCUCAAAAAGGGUGGUAAAUUCCAUCUAAGGCUAAAUAUUGGUGAGAGACCGAUAGCAAACAAGUACCGUGAGGGAAAGAUGAAAAGAACUUUGGAAAGAGAGUUAACAGUACGUGAAAUUGUUAAAAGGGAAACAAUUGAAGUUAGUCUUGUUAUUAUUGGUUCAGCUUUAAUUAGUGUAUUCUGAUUUUUAACAGAUCAACAUCAAUUCUUGGGUGUUGGAUAAGGGUCUUGAGAAAUGUAGCAGCUUUUUUGCUGUGUUAUAGUCUGUGAAACUUUGAUACAGUGCCUAGGAUUGAGGAUUGCAGUGAGC